rnacentral:lncRNA from 1 species
UAACAUGUGCUUGACAACCCAUUCUCUGCAGCAUAUACAAUUGGAAGAUCAUCAUUUGACUUGCCAGUGAUCAUACAAAUAAAGGAACAUAUGUGAGAAUCAGUGGAGUAGACUUUUAAUUAACAGCUUAGGCUUAGGUUCAAAAAAACCAAGAGCCAUUAGAGUUCUUUUGAGCACUUUCAUGAUCACUGUAAUUAGAUGAAAUGGCCAUAAAAGAGAGAAACACAAGAGACAAAGAAACACAGGGAAGGGAGCUGUCGCCUUAUCUGGUGAAGAAGACUGAUGGUCCGAUUCGUCAGCCAUAUUGCAGGCUAAUCCAUGUGACUCUUUGGUGAUGGUAUGUAUAGUUACAAUGAUGUCUGCAAUGCUUAGUGAAACGUUUAACUGGAAUGUAAUAAAAUCCUUUCACAAUGUAAUUGGCUUUCCUCUCAACUAUUGUUCUUAUGUUCAAAUAUUUACACACCUCUGAAACGACAAAACUACAUAUACCAUACCCAUCCACAUAUAAUCUAGUGAUAAAAAAAUUAAAUAGAUGAAAGUUCACAAUGAAUUCGUUUAUUUUUUUCCCCCUGAGUUUAUUGUAAUAGGAAGGCAUGAGUUCAAAUUCUAUUUAGAAUAUCCUAAGAUAAUUGAAGAAAGGAGCCUACAUCAACUUAUACUUUAUCUAAGUCACCUUGAAGUGACUCUGAUGUUUCACCUGAAGCUGCAUUUUUGGAAUUCAAGGGGCUUGUAAAAUCUCUAAAUGAUAUACAACUUAUUGCAGCUUUAUGUCCCCUUAAAAUUUUUAUUUUGACAUGGUCAAGCAAUCUUAGAGUAUAUUUGUCAUCUUCUUCUCUAGUUCUAAAUAUGGAGUGGCCUGUGGAAUUUGACCUAAAAAAUCUUUCCACUCCUUCACGUUUCUUGUGAUGUUCUUUUGUGGUUGAAGAGCUUUGUGCUUCAUCAGCUUUCUCCUUGUUAUCUUCUCUAAUCUCAAUGCAAACAGCAUUUUGUAGAGGACUUUGAUUUGCCCCAAUUUGAUGCAUGGAAUUACUCUGAAGCAGCACAGGAGAUUUCUCUAACGAUUUCCUAGGCACGUCUAGCUCGCCACGACAAACCGGGCAUGUUUUAUUCGAUUCAAGCCAAAGAUCGGCACAUUCUUUGUGGAAAACAUGGCAACAAAUCGUCAAAAGUCGAAGCGUAUC